rfam:Lachancea mirantina genome assembly, chromosome: C
UCCGAUAUAGUGUAGGGGCUAUCACACGACGCUCUCACCGUCGAGACCCGGGUUCGAUUCCCGGUAUCGGAA